CAUUAAUUUAAUAUUGUAAUAUAUCUUAGUUUUAUAACUAAAAUAGUUUGGCAGCAAGCGAUUCUAUCUAGGGGAAGGUGCGUUGUAAAGGAUGAUCCGCCUAUUAUUUUACUUACUUUAUGUUGGUGUAUAUCUAGUUUGAUAUUAUUGUUUAGUAAUUUAAUUUGUGUAUAUGUUUAUUUAAGCUAAGUCUAUGUGCUGCUUGAGUAAGUUUUCGUGCGUUACACUUAUAGGGUUAUUAGUGAUAUCUUGUAGAAUAGUUAGGACUUAGCAGUAAUGUGAAAUUAGUUUGUUCAUGUGAAGUUAGUUUAGCUUGGGUACACACCGCCCGUCAUCCUCGAUAGUUGUUGAG
rnacentral:rRNA from 1 species